rnacentral:rRNA from 1 species
GCCGACCGGUGUUACAAGACCCGUCCGAGGACGCGGCUCGCCAACAGCCGUACGUGCCGAGAGCCGGACCGAGGUCCGUCAUCCCGACGAGCGCACGAACUUGCGACCGGCCCGGACGCCCUUCACUAGGGGCGGUCCGACACCUGCGUUUCAUACCGUCUUCCGAUCGGCCAGGUAACCCGGGGUCCGAGACGGACGUCCGAAGACGCCGUCAAGGGCUCCCACCGGGACCGUCGACCGUCGCCUAACGGGUCGCGGCGUCCUACUGAGAGAGAAGUGCGGCCCACCGCGGCCGGCAUAACCCCCGUGAGCGUCGAGUGACCACAGAAACGACCCCGCUCCGACUUGCGCCGAGCGGGCGAACUGUGCCAUCUGAACCCACGGGAGCCGGCUCACGCGAGAGAGCGUGAAUCUCCCC